ACAUUAGACAAAAUACAGAUUCAUUUAUUUUUUUGAAAAUCUAAAAUUAAACAUUAGUAUUUGCUGCUUUGUAGCAGUUAUGAUAACAUUUGUUUGGUUGAGCUGUUUAAUGAUAUUGCAACUAAGUUAAUAACCACAUUACAAGUUCAUAACAGAGCCCCUGCAAUUCAUACAAUAACACCAAGGUAAUUUCUAAUUCUACGGCCACUUAAUAUCUACAAAAGCAAGUCAAGUAGUUUUCAUAUUUGUUUUGCUGAACAAACUUAAAACAACAUUCAUAAUUUUUAUAAUGUUGUGACUUGAAAUAAUUCUCCAAAUUUCUCAAUAUGAUUUAAAAUUCCUUCAAUAGGAGAAAUCACGUAAAACCAAAAAGCAUGUAUUUUAAGAUAGCAAAAUGAAUCAUUUUCGUUUUUAGAUUCUUUUUUGUCAACUUGCACAAAAGUUGCACUAUGCAUGCAAAUGUGUCAACAGGUAAAAUGACAUGAUAUGCAUUAUUGGUUGCCAUUUCCCUAUCCAUGUGCAGAGAGAAUCAUCUUUAGGUACAAAAUUACUUCUCACCCAUCAAAUAUUCAAAUAUUCUCACAUAGAUGGCAGCACUUGGCUGGCAGUCGAAGACUCACAUUCUCUGCUGGCUCAAGGAUCGAAUGAAGUGUCAAGUCCGAGAGUCGAAAAAUUUACAGCAAAAAAGACAAAAAGAAGACAAAGACAUUGUUUUGUUUAAAACAUG
rnacentral:lncRNA from 1 species